rnacentral:misc_RNA from 1 species
UCCCCGUUAACCGGGGCAGUCCCCCUAGAGUUCCCGGCAUGACCCGUUGGCAACUAGGGGCGAGGGUUGCGCUCGUUGCGGGACUUAACCCAACAUCUCACGACACGAGCUGACGACAGCCAUGCAGCACCUGUGCGGCGUCCGGCCGAACCGAAGGGUGGGUCUCCCCACCCGCGACGCCCAUGUCAAGGGCUGGUAAGGUUCUGCGCGUUGCUUCGAAUUAAACCACAU